rnacentral:lncRNA from 1 species
GCUUCUCUUCGAUCAAAUUCAAUUGGUCAUAACGACUUUGAAUCCAUUCAGCAUCAGUCAACUAGGGACUUGAGGGUAUAAUUUUUCUUUUUUCUUUUGAAGAAAUCUCGAAAAAAAUUUGCUGAUUUUUGAUUUUUUCAUCUUUUUCACCCUCUUUUUUUUUGUUUUUUUGUUUUUUGUUUUUUUGUUUUUUUUUUUUUUUUACAUUUGUAAUGCCCCAGUUUGACUGUUUUGCUGAUUCUCAUGAUACAGCUGAAUGAGCUUCUAUGGUGCUCAAGAAGGCGGGUAAUCUCAUCAGGAAUCC